rnacentral:rRNA from 1 species
UACGAAGGGGGCUAGCGUUGUUCGGAAUCACUGGGCGUAAAGCGCAUGCAGGCGGAUUGUUAAGUCGGGGGUGAAAUCCCGAGGCUCAACCUCGGAACUGCCUUUGAUACAGCAAGUCUUGAGUUCGAGAGAGGUGGGUGGAAUUCCUAGUGUAAAGGUGAAAUUCGUAGAUAUUAGGAAGAACACCGGUGGCGAAGGCGGCCCACUGGCUCGAUACUGACGCUGAGGUGCGAAAGCGUGGGGAGCAAAGCAGG